GGCUGGGUGCGAGGGGACAACACUGGAAUACGGCCCUUUUCUUUACCCCGAACCCGACCACGCAAUGGAAAAGUCGUCCUCAAGCUUUUUCCGAUAUAAACCCUAACCCCUCUCCCUCAUCAUUCACAACGCUUCUCUUCUGUGCUUUAUUCUUUUCAUGGAUAUUUCAUCCUCGCUCCCUUCAUAACCCUACAAAUCCCGCUGGUCUUUUUGCUUCUUGCCCCCCUCACCGCCAUUAUCUCUGAAGCCCUAAUUAUUCCGCGGUCGUUUUCUUCUUUUGCUUGUCCACCUGCUUUUCGUGAUAAUCUCUAGGUUCACUCUUCUCUAAGAUUAUUACUUGUACUGCUGAUAUUAUGGCUACUGCUUUGGAUCUGUCCCUCGAUGAUCUUAUAAAGAAUAGAGGAUCCCGUGAGAGAGGUAGAGGAAGAGGUAGGGCCCGCCGUGGCCGUGGACCGGGCAGGGCAUAUAAUGGUGGAAGAAUGCCUGGGGCAGUUCGAAGAGGUCCCCUUGCAGUGAAUGCUCGGCCAUCAUCUUAUACAAUUGCCAAGUCUAUCCGCAGACCCAGGACUUUCCCAUGGCAGCAUGAUUUGUUUGAAGAGAGCCUUAGAGCUGCAGGGAUACCAGGGAUAGGAAUUGGCACAAAAUUAUAUGUUUCUAACUUGGAUUAUGGAGUGACUAAUGAAGAUAUAAGGGAACUUUUCUGCGAAAUUGGAGACCUGAAACGAUAUGCAGUUCAUUAUGACAAAAGUGGGCGCCCAAAUGGCUCAGCUGAAGUUGUGUAUACCAGAAGAAGUGAUGCAGUUGCUGCUCUUAAGCGGUAUAAUAAUGUUCUCUUGGAUGGUAAACCCAUGAGAAUUGAAAUUGUAGGUGCCAAUGCAGAAAUGCCUGUUUCAGCUCGUGUGAAUGUCACUGGAGUAAACGGAAGGAGGAGAAGGACCGUUGUUAUGACGCCUGGAGCUGGUCCAAUUGGAGGCUCUGCUGCUGUCAAGCGUGGCUCUGGUCGUAAUCGUUUUGGGGGUACAAGUAGCCGUGGCCGUGGCAGUGGCAGUGCCCGUGCUCAGGUACAGGAUCUGGGUCGAGGUCGGGGUGGGAGCCGGGGCUGGGGCCGUGGCCGAGGCCGAGUCCGGGGACGCGGUCGUGGAUCUGAAAAUAAUCAACCUGUUGAUAUGUCUGUUGAUGAACUUAACGAAGACCUGGAGAACUAUCAUGCUGUAGCCAAACAUACUUGAAUUUUCAAGCCGUGAUGGCUGGGGGAACUGCUCCGGAAUUAAGCAUAUCAGUAGUAGCCAAGAUUAGCUAUGGGAGAUGUACAAAUUACUGAAUAUGCUGUCGAAUGCUAUUGUAACUUGGGCCUUCCAACUCCAACAUUCAAUCGAGCAAUGAUGACAUGGCCGAUGGUGCCAAGCAUGACUCUUGGGAGCUUUUUUUUAACAGUUCGACCUUUCGUCUUCUUUUUUUCUUUUCUUUUCUUUUUUUUUUCCUAAUUUGUUGAUGGAUCAUAUGAAACGCUUAAUCCAGAUUAAGUUUGUAGUUCUGGGAUUGGCAUCAAUGGAUCAGAAGAAGAAAGAUAUUAUAAGAGUUACUCUUUGGGUAGGUCCGGCUGAUGUUGGGUGUUCAACAGCCUCCAAUCACAUGUCACGUAUGAAGUUUUCCAUUAGACACAAUAAAUCUUAUUUUACCGUAUUAAGUUGCACGCAUUAAA